rnacentral:rRNA from 1 species
GCUGGCGGUGCGCCUUAUGCAUGCAAGUCGAGCGAAGCUUUUCAGUAGUUUACUACAGAAAAUGACUGAGCGGCGAACGGGUGAGUAACGCGUGAGCAAUCUACCUUAGUUACAGGGAUAGCCCGAGGAAACUCGGAUUAAUACCUGAUAUUCUUUACAUUUCGCAUGAAAUCAAAAGGAAAGGUCAGCCGAACUAAGAUGAGCUCGCGUUCUAUCAGCUAGUUGGUGAGGUAAAAGCUCACCAAGGCAACGACGGAUAGCUGGUCUGAGAGGACGAUCAGCCACACUGGGACUGAGACACGGCCCAGACUCCUACGGGAGGCUGCAGCAGGGAAUAUUGCGCAAUGAGCGAAAGCUUGACGCAGCGACACCGCGUGUGGGAUGACGGAUCUAGGUUUGUAAACCACUUUCAGGAGGGAAGAAAA